rnacentral:rRNA from 1 species
AGCUCCAAUAGCGUAUAUUAAUGCUGUUGCGGUUAAAAAGCUCGUAGUUGGAUCUCGGCGGGCCGGGGCCGGUUCACUUAUGGUGUUACUGGCCCAUUGGUCCGUGUUUUUGGCGGAGGUUCUGGGGUGCUCUUAACCGAGUGUCCCAGGGCGCCGCCAGGUUUACUUUGAAAAAAUUAGAGUGCUCAAGGCAGGCUUUACACGCCUGAAUAUUCGUGCAUGGAAUAAUAGAAUAGGACGUCGUUUCUAUUUUGUUGGUUUUCGGAAAUCGACGUAAUGAUUAAUAGGGACAGUCGGGGGCAUUAGUAUUCAGACGACAGAGGUGAAAUUCUUGGACCGUCUGAAGACUAACGACUGCGAAAGCAUUUGCCAAGAAUGUUUUCA